CAUGUACUCCCUCCGUUCCGAAUUACUUGUCUUGGAUUUGUCUAGAUACGGAUGUAUCUAGACUCAUUUUAGUGCUAGAUACCUCCGUAUCUAGACAAAUCCAAGACAAGUAAUUCGGAACGGAGGGAGUAAAUC
rnacentral:pre_miRNA from 1 species